UACGUAGAGGGCAAGCGUUGUCCGGAAUCAUUGGGCGUAAAGAGCGUGUAGGCGGCCCGAUAAGUCCGCCGUGAAAGUCCAGGGCUCAACCCUGGAAUGCCGGUGGAAACUGUCGGGCUCGAGUCCGGAAGAGGCGAGUGGAAUUCCUGGUGUAGCGGUGGAAUGCGCAGAUAUCAGGAGGAACACCAAUAGCGAAGGCAGCUCGCUGGGACGGUACUGACGCUAAGGCGCGAAAGCGUGGGGAGCGAACAGG
rnacentral:rRNA from 1 species